rnacentral:rRNA from 1 species
ACGGAAGGCAGCAGUAGGGAAUAUUGCACAAUGGGGGAAACCCUGAUGCAGCGACGCCGCGUGAAGGAUGAAGUAUUUCGGUAUGUAAACUUCUAUCAGCAAGGAAGAAAAUGACGGUACUUGACUAAGAAGCCCCGGCUAAAUACGUGCCAGCAGCCGCGGUAAUACGUAUGGGGCAAGCGUUAUCCGGAUUUACUGGGUGUAAAGGGAGUGUAGGCGGUACGGCAAGUCAGAAGUGAAAGCUCGGGGCUCAACCUCGGAAUUGCUUUUGAAACUGUCGAACUAGAGUGUCGGAGGGGUAAGCGGAAUUCCUAGUGUAGCGGUGAAAUGCGUAGAUAUUAGGAGGAACACCAGUGGCGAAGGCGGCUUACUGGACGACUACUGACGCUGAGGCUCGAAAGCGUGGGGAGCAAACAGGAUUAGAUACCCUGGUA